GCAUUUUAGACUACAUACAUAACAUUGGAGAAAGUGUUGGAAUUAUGGCCGGAGGACAGAAUUUAGAGUCCUGGCUCUGUCCCGUCCUAACUACAACUUUACACAAGGCGCAUCAUUUCUCUGGAUGUCAGAGAAAGAAGAAGGAAGAGUCAAGCAUAACACCAAAGGAUAGCAGGGCCAUUAUUGACAUUGGAAUCUCAGGAGCAGAGGCAUUUGGUGAGGGAGCCAAUAUCUGCAAGGAGAUCCAGAAAUGCCUAGGGUUUACAUCUCCCUGGCAAGGGCCCUACAAAUGACUCCUGGUACAGAAGUUUAAAGUCUCCAGCUUCCUUGCCCCAGUCCAGACCGCUCUGAGAUCCCUCUGAAAAGUGGCCAGAGUGGCUCAAGAGAAGGCUGGAGACAGAGGCAAACAGAGCCCUGACCACAUAGGCUUGGCGCAACAGGCAAAGAGCUUGCACUUAACCCGGUAAGUGAUGGGAAGUCUGCAAAAGGUUUCAGGCAAGGGAGCACUGCAGUUUUUGAAUAAAAACAACACACAUUAGAGAGUAAACAUGGCUGGGUGCAGCUCUUGCCUGUAAUUUCCGC